AACGAACGCUGGCGGCAUGCCUAACACAUGCAAGUCGAACGAGACCUUCGGGUCUAGUGUCGCACGGGUGCGUAACGCGUUGGAACCUGCCCUUAGGUUCGGAAUAACUCCCCGAAAUGGGUGCUAAUACCGGUUAAUGUCUUCGGACCAAAGAUUUGUCGCCUUUGGAUGGGCCCGCGUUGGAUUAGCUAGUUGGUAGGGUAAAAGCAUACCAAGGCGACUAUCCAUAGAUGGUCUGAGAGGAUGAUAAGACACACUGGGACUGAGACACGGCCCAGACUACUACGGGAGGGAGCAGUGGGGAAUAUAGGAAAAUGGGCGAAAGACUGAAAAAGCAAUGACGGGAGAGUGAUGAAGGGAUGAGGGAAGAAAAGCUCUUUUAAACGGGAUGAUAAUGACAGUACCGGGAGAAUAAGCGACGGCUAACUACGUG
rnacentral:rRNA from 1 species